rnacentral:rRNA from 1 species
AGUGAACGCUGGCGGUAGGCCUAACACAUGCAAGUCGAACGGCAGCACAGUAAGAGCUUGCUCUUACGGGUGGCGAGUGGCGGACGGGUGAGGAAUACAUCGGAAUCUACUUUUUCGUGGGGGAUAACGUAGGGAAACUUACGCUAAUACCGCAUACGACCUACGGGUGAAAGCAGGGGAUCUUCGGACCUUGCGCGAUUGAAUGAGCCGAUGUCGGAUUAGCUAGUUGGCGGGGUAAAGGCCCACCAAGGCGACGAUCCGUAGCUUGUCUGAGAGGAUGAUCAGCCACACUGGAACUGAGACACGGUCCAGACUCCUACGGGAGGCAGCAGUGGGGAAUAUUGGACAAUGGGCGCAAGCCUGAUCCAGCCAUACCGAGUGGGUGAAGAAGGCCUUCGGGUUGUAAAGCCCUUUUGUUGGGAAAGAAAAGCAGCAGGUUAAUACCCCGCUGUUCUGACGGUACCCAAAGAAUAAGCACCGGCUAACUUCGUG